AUUAGACGAAUCAUCUGGAAAGAUGAAUCAAAGAAGGUAAUAAUCCUGUAGUCGAAAAUGUUGUCUCUCUUGAGUGGAUCCUGAGUACGACGGAGCACGUGAAAUUCCGUCGGAAUCUGGGAGGACCAUCUCCUAAGGCUAAAUACUCUCUAGUGACCGAUAGUGAACCAGUACCGUGAGGGAAAGGUGAAAAGCACCCCGGAAGGGGAGUGAAAUAGAACCUGAAACCGUGUGCUUACAAGUAGUCAGAGCCCGUUAAUGGGUGAUGGCGUGCCUUUUGUAGAAUGAACCGGCGAGUUACGAUUUGAUGCAAGGUUAAGCAGUAAAUGUGGAGCCGUAGCGAAAGCGAGUCUGAAUAGGGCGUUUAGUAUUUGGUCGUAGACCCGAAACCAGGUGAUCUACCCUUGGUCAGGUUGAAGUUCAGGUAACACUGAAUGGAGGACCGAACCGACUUACGUUGAAAAGUGAGCGGAUGAACUGAGGGUAGCGGAGAAAUUCCAAUCGAACCUGGAGAUAGCUGGUUCUCUCCGAAAUAGCUUUAGGGCUAGCCUCAAGUGAUGAUUAUUGGAGGUAGAGCACUGUUUGGACGAGGGGCCCCUCUCGGGUUACCGAAUUCAGACAAACUCCGAAUGCCAAUUAAUUUAACUU
rnacentral:rRNA from 1 species